rnacentral:rRNA from 1 species
AUUGAACGCUGGCGGCAUGCCUUACACAUGCAAGUCGAACGGCAGCGGGCCCUUCUGGGUGCCGGCGAGUGGCGAACGGGUGAGUAAUGCAUCGGAACGUACCCGGGAGAGGGGGAUAACCGGCCGAAAGGCUGGCUAAUACCGCAUGAACUCGGAUGCGCAAAGCGGGGGACCUUCAGGCCUCGCGCUCUCGGAGCGGCCGAGGUCCGAUUAGGCUAGUUGGUGGGGUAAAGGCCCACCAAGGCGACGACCGGUAGCGGGUCUGAGAGGACGAUCCGCCGCACGGGGGCUGGGACACGGCCCAGACACCUACGGGAGGCAGCAGUGGGGAAUGUUGGACAAUGGGCGCAAGCCUGAUCCAGCAAGGCCGCGUGGGUGAAGAAGGCCUUCGGGUUGUAAAGCCCUUUCGGCGGGGAAGAAAUCGGUCAGGCGAAUAGUCUGGCCGGAUGACGGUACCCGCUGAAGAAGCACCGGCUAACUACGUG